rnacentral:rRNA from 1 species
CCUACGGGUGGCAGCAGUGGGGAAUAUUGCACAAUGGGGGAAACCCUGAUGCAGCGACGCCGCGUGAGUGAAGAAGUAUCUCGGUAUGUAAAGCUCUAUCAGCCGGGAAGAAAAUGACGGUACCUGACUAAGAAGCCCCGGCUAAAUACGUGCCAGCAGCCGCGGUAAUCCGGAGGGGGCAAGCGUUAUCCGGAUUUACUGGGUGUAAAUGGAGCGUAGACGGCAGCACAAGUCUGGCGUGAAAUCCCGGGGCUUAACCCCGGAACUGCUUUGGAAACUGGGCGGCUGGAGUGCAGGAGGGGUAAGCGGAAUUCCUAGUGGAGCGGUGAAAUGCGUAGAGAGUAGGAGGAACACCGGUGGCGAAGGCGGCUUACUGGACUGUAACUGACGUUGAGGCUCGAAAGCGUGGGGAGCAAACAGGAUUAGAUACCCGAGUAGUC